AUACGUAGGGGGCGAGCGUUGUCCGGAAUCACUGGGCGUAAAGCGCGCGCAGGCGGUCUUUCACGUCCGGGGUGAAAGCCCAGAGCUCAACUCUGGGAUUGCCUUGGAUACGGGGAGACUUGAGGAUCGGAGAGGCAAGGGGAAUUCCACGUGUAGCGGUGAUAUGCGUAGAGAUGUGGAGGAACACCUGUGGCGAAGGCGCCUUGCUGGCCGAUUUCUGACGCUGAGGCGCGAAAGCGUGGGGAGCAAACAGGAUUAGAUACCCUGGUAGUCCACGCCGUAAACGAUGAGUGCUAGGUGUUAGGGGGCCCACCCCUUAGUGCCGAAGCUAACGCAUUAAGCACUCCGCCUGGGGAGUACGGUCGCAAGACUGAA
rnacentral:rRNA from 1 species